rnacentral:rRNA from 1 species
AACGAACGCUGGCGGCAUGCCUGACACAUGCAAGUCGAACGAGAUCUUCGGGUCUAGUGGCGCACGGGUGCGUAACGCGUGGGAAUCUGCCCUCUGGUUCGGAAUAACAGUUGGAAACGACUGCUAAUACCGGAUGAUGACGAAAGUCCAAAGAUUUAUCGCCAGAGGAUGAGCCCGCGUAGGAUUAGCUAGUUGGUGUGGUAAAGGCGCACCAAGGCGACGAUCCUUAGCUGGUCUGAGAGGAUGAUCAGCCACACUGGGACUGAGACACGGCCCAGACUCCUACGGGAGGCAGCAGUAGGGAAGAUUGGACAAUGGGCGAAAGCCUGAUCCAGCAAUGCCGCGUGAGUGAUGAAGGCCUUAGGGUUGUAAAGCUCUUUUACCCGGGAUGAUAAUGACAGUACCGGGAGAAUAAGCUCCGGCUAACUCCGUGCCAGCCGCCGCUGUAA